rnacentral:rRNA from 1 species
GAGUUUGAUCCUGGCUCAGGACGAACGCUGGCGGCGCGCCUAACACAUGCAAGUCGAACGAGCGAGAGAGAGCUUGCUUUCUCGAGCGAGUGGCGAACGGGUGAGUAACGCGUGAGGAACCUGCCUCAAAGAGGGGGACAACAGUUGGAAACGACUGCUAAUACCGCAUAAGCCCACGGGUCGGCAUCGACCUGAGGGAAAAGGAGCAAUCCGCUAAUAGAUGAGCUUGCGGCUGAUUAGCUAGUAGGUGAGGUAACGGCCCACCAAGGCGACGAUCGGUAGCCGGACUGAGAGGUUGAACGGCCACAUUGGGACUGAGACACGGCCCAGACUCCUACGGGAGGCAGCAGUGGGGAAUAUUGCACAAUGGGGGAAACCCUGAUGCAGCGACGCCGCGUGGAGGAAGAAGGUCUUCGGAUUGUAAACUCCUGUUGUUGAGGAAGAUAAUGACGGUACUCAACAAGGAAGUGACGGCUAACUACGUGCCAGCCGCCGCGGUAAUU